UACGGGGGGAGCAAGCGUUGUUCGGAUUUACUGGGCGUAAAGGGCGCGUAGGCGGCCUGUGCAAGUCAGUUGUGAAAUCUCCGAGCUUAACUCGGAAAGGUCAACUGAUACUGCUCGGCUAGAGUGCGGAAGGGGCAACUGGAAUUCUUGGUGUAGCGGUGAAAUGCGUAGAUAUCUGGAGGAACACCGGUGGCGAAGGCGGCAUCCUGGACCAACACUGACACUGAGGAGCGAAAGCCAGGGGAGCAAACGGG
rnacentral:rRNA from 1 species